rnacentral:rRNA from 1 species
UUGAACGCUGGCGGAAUGCUUUACACAUGCAAGUCGAGCGGCAGCGCGGGGGCAACUCUGGCGGCGAGCGGCGAACGGGUGAGUAACACAUCGGAACGCGUCCAGUAAUGGGGGAUAACCUGGCGAAAGCCAGGCUAAUACCGCAUACGUCCUGAGGGGGAAAGCGGGGGACCUUCGGGCCUCGCGCGAUUGGAGCGGCUGAUGUCGGAUUAGCUAGUUGGUGGGGUAAAGGCCUACCAAGGCGACGAUCCGUAGCUGGUCUGAGAGGAUGAUCAGCCACACUGGGACUGAGACACGGCCCAGACUCCUACGGGAGGCAGCAGUGGGGAAUUUUGGACAAUGGGCGCAAGCCUGAUCCAGCCAUGCCGCGUGAGUGAAGAAGGCCUUCGGGUUGUAAAGCUCUUUCAGACGGAAAGAAAUCGGGCGCGUGAAUAGCGUGCCUGGAUGACGGUACUGUCAGAAGAAGCACCGGCUAACUACGU